GAUGUACUCCCUCCGUCCCAAAAUUCUUGUCUUAAAUUUGUCUAAAUACGGAUGUAUCAAGUCACGUUUUAGUAUUAGAUACAUUUGUAUCUAGACUAAUCUAAGACAAGAAUUUUGGGACGGAGGGAAUAAUUG
rfam:Triticum urartu cultivar G1812 contig514987, whole genome shotgun sequence.